GAACGCACAUUGCGGCCCCGGCUCACUGCCGGGGCCUCGCCUGUCCGAGGGUCGGCGAACUUGUGAUCGCCCAUCGCUCCCCGGCUCGGGGACGCGAGGGCGCGUUGGCGCGUCGCGCUGGCCACCACGGUGGUCGGCCCGUCCGUCUCGAGAGUUCAGCCUCCGCGAGUCGCUCGAUAGCCAUCCCGGCGAGUGGCACGCUGACAGGGCUCGAUGGGCCUCUUGUCUCGCGUGCAUGUCUCCUACCUAGUAGGGGACGACCUCCCGGGCGGCCGACGGCUCGUUCAGAGCGGAGUUUGUUACGUACGUGUGUGCAGCACACGGGCGAACACCUACACACUCCGACCUCGGAUCAGACGAGACUACCCGCUGAACUUAAGCAUA
rnacentral:misc_RNA from 4 species